CCAACUAGCCAACCUUAGCUGCUUGAUAAUGAAUCAGUACUUCAACAUUUAUAAGGACGAACAGUCAUGGGAAUUCCUUACACAGUCUACACCUGAUAAGUAACUUCUCAGAAAACGAAAGUGAUGCAUAGAUGGGUGACAAAGGACAAAACAGCAGCGGGUUAGUAAGGUGUUGGACUACCAAGAACCACCAGAACAGCACCAGUGCGCCUUGGCAGUGUGUGGAACUUUGCUGGAGGCCUCUGAGAACAAGGUGCGCUGAGGAAGGAGGCAGAGAAGAGUGAGAGAACGAGGAAAAAACAGAGAAAAGAAGAAGAUACUGAAG